GUUUAUCCAAAAAGACAAGGAGAACACGGAUCAGCGGGCGGAGGGGAUUGAGAGCAGGGUGGGCAGUGGGAGCUUCAGCACCCUUCGGCGCUUUAACUCCUCCAACUCCCUCAACCUGGAUCCCGCCUCCUCGCAUGCCGGCUCCUUCCCGCCCAGCAGAGGGCGCUCCAUGCCCGAAAGGGAGGCAGCCCAGCUCUGAGCGAGAAGAAGACAAGCUGGGCUUCAUGACUCUGCUGCCAGCCUUACAGGAAGAGGUAGAAGAUGACACCAUCAAAUGUGAAACCUCGACCUCCGCCUCACUGCGGUCCCUUCGGCUGGACCGGCUCACAGGCUCACUGCGCACAGCCAGCGACGAGGACAUCAGGGACGCCCGCAACGCGACAGGCUCUCAGGACGGUCCCGGGGGCAACCCCAGCAACAGCAACAGCAGCCAGAAAGCCCCAAAGAAGAAGGGCAUCAAGUCCUCCAUCGGUCGUUGGUUUGGCAAGAAGGAAAAGGGCCGACCUGGACACACCAGCAAGGAGGCGUUAGGACCAGGUGGGUGCUUCGCCGUUCAGAGGGAGGAGGGUCUGCAUGUAUGUCCCUUCUGUGUCUCCCCCGCUGUGCCCACGAGGCUCCUGUCACUCACGCUGGGUGUCCUCCUGGGAGGAGCAAAGGAGGCGUCAGUCUUCUCUAGGGUCCGAGAUGAUCAGAUCAGUUGAUGAGUGGAUGGGUGGACGGGUGGAUGAACAGAUGGCUGGCUGGAUGGGUGGGUGAACGGAGCAUGGAAUGAGUAAAGCAGAUGCUUAUACUCCGAUGAGAAACGUAUUCUACGAAAUGGUUGAGUAGGAGCUGGGCAAUGACUGUUUCCUCCAGAACAGUGACAAGUGUUUGGAAACGGCCUAAGUGCUCAUCAGAGAGGAGUGAGGUACAAUCUGUGGGCACCCCACAAG
rnacentral:lncRNA from 1 species